CGCCCUUAGAGUUUGAUCCUGGCUCAGGAUGAACGCUAGCGGCAGGCUUAAUACAUGCAAGUCGAGGGGCAGCAGGUCUGUAGCAAUACAGAUGCUGGCGACCGGCAAACGGGUGCGGAACACGUACACAACCUUCCUUUAAGCGGGGAAUAGCCCAGAGAAAUUUGGAUUAAUACCCCAUAGUAUAUUGAGUAGGCAUCUAUUUAAUAUUAAAGAUUUAUCACUUGAAGAUGGGUGUGCGGCUGAUUAGGUAGUUGGCGGGGUAACGGCCCACCAAGCCUACGAUCAGUAACUGGUGUGAGAGCACGACCAGUCACACGGGCACUGAGACACGGGCCCGACUCCUACGGGAGGCAGCAGUAAGGAAUAUUGGUCAAUGGACGAAAGUCUGAACCAGCCAUGCCGCGUGGAGGAUGAAGGCCCUCUGGGUUGUAAACUUCUUUUAUUUGGGACGAAAAAGGGCUUUUCUAAGUCAACUGACGGUACCAUUUGAAUAAGCACCGGCUAACUCCGUGCCAGCAGCCGCGGUAAUACGGAGGGUGCAAGCGUUAUCCGGAUUCACUGGGUUUAAAGGGUGCGUAGGUGGGUUGGUAAGUCAGUGGUGAAAUCCCCGAGCUUAACUUGGGAACUGCCAUUGAUACUAUCAGUCUUGAAUACCGUGGAGGUCAGCGGAAUAUGUCAUGUAGCGGUGAAAUGCUUAGAGAUGACAUAGAACACCAAUUGCGAAAGCAGCUGGCUACACGAAUAUUGACACUGAGGCACGAAAGCGUGGGGAUCAAACAGAUAGAUACCCUGGUAGUCCACGCCCUAAACUAUGGAUACUCGACAUACGCGAUACACAGUGUGUGUCUGAGCGAAAGCAUAAGUAUCCCCCUGGGAAGUACGAUC
rnacentral:rRNA from 1 species